UUAACUUGGCAGUCCAGUUAAAACGAAUCAACUGAAACUAUGUGAAUGCUGUUGCAACUGCAAGCCAUAUUACGUAAUCUCCUAUUUCACCCUAAAACAGAAAAAAACACAGUCCAGCCCCUUUCCUGGGGAGAUGGUAACCAUAUUCUGUUCAUAACCCUCAUGUGAAUCCACUGCCCAUUGGUGAUGAAAGUGAAUAAAGAGAACCUGGGAUCACUUCCGAGGCCCUGAGACCACAGCACUGGUUUGGAUUGUUACUCUGGACAUGGAUGAGAAAAGUGCACGGGACUUCAAGUUCACCUUCUUUACUUGUAUCAAAUGAUGACCAGUGUACUGGUCUUCCAUUCCUUUGCUUGUGGAAGAAGAUUGGCAUAAAUAAAUUAACUAACUUAGAUUGGUCGCAGGAAAGAAAAGCCCAAGAAACCAACCAAACAAAAAACCCAGUAGAGAGCCAGCUGGUAGGGGACUAGCUGUGUUUCCAAUUUGCUUCACUUGAAUAUUUUUAAGCUUCCCUAGGCCUUACUGUCUUCAUCUAUAAUAUGAGGGAUUUGAUUUUUUAAAUAUACUUUAAAAAUUGAUUGUAACAUACAUUGAGUGAAUAAGCAAAUCAUAUGAUGAAUAUUAUUUGCCCCCCAGGAUCGACCUUUGUUCCCCUUCCCUUAUUAACCCCCAAAGGUAACCACUAACCUGACUUACAACAUCAUAGAUGAGUUUUUGCCAGUUUUUGAAUUUAUAUAAAUAGCAUCAUACAUUAUAUACUUCUUUGCAUCUGAUUUCUUUUGUUCAGCCAGAUCUCCAUGGGAUACAUUCAAUUCUUUUGUGGAGCAGUUUGCUUGUUUUUACUGCUAUGUUCUGUUCCACUGUAUGAACGUACAAACAGUUUUUAUCUAUUCCACUGUUGAUGAAGAUGUGGGUUAUUUCCAUCUUGGGACUAGUAUGAAUAAUUCUUCAGUGAACAUCCUUGAAUGUGUAUUUUGGUGUGAUAACACAUGUAUAUGUGCCAUGGAAUUGCUAGAUCACAGGUUAUACGAACACUCAACUCUAGGUGUUGCCAACAGUAUUUCUAGAGUUGUUGUAUUAAGUAUAUAAUAUGUUAAAGUUACACUUAUUCCUUAUCCUUGCCAGUUCUUAGUACUGUGAGUCUCUUUAAUCUUAGCCAUUUGGGUGGAUGUGUACUAGUAUCUCAUUGAAUCUUCAGUAUACGACUCAAAGAAUUUUUACAUGCACAUUCACGCACACACAUGACCACUACCCAGAUCAAAACAGCAUUGGCACGACUCUCAAGAAGGGUCUCUUGUAUCCAUUCGCAGUCAGUGCACCCCACCAAGAAAUAGCCACUAUCUGACUUCCAUCAGAGAUUGGUUCUCCCUGUUCUUGAAUUUUAUAUAAAUGGAAUCAUGCAAUUUCUAGUCACUCAGCUCUCAAUUCAUUUGCUCAUUUUUUAUGCCUGUAAUAUUAAUCAGUGUUAUUUUACACAACAGCCACCUUUCCUUUUAUAUUGCAGUAUAAUAUUCCUUUUAAUGAAUAUGUUUCAUUUUAUUUAUCUGCUCUCUUGGUGAUGAAGAGAUUGCAUUGUUAUAUUUUUUGGCUAUUAGAUACAAAGCAGCUGUAAAUACUCUUGUAUGUGUCUUCGGUGAACCUAAGUUCUCAUUUCCCUUUGGUGUUUACCUAGGAAUAAGAUUGCUGGGUCAUAGAAUAAGUUUAGCUUUAGCAAAUAUUGCCAAAUAGUUUCCCAAAUAGGUUUCUCCAAUUUAAACUUCCAUCAGCAAUGUAAGAGAGUUCCAGACUCUUGCCACCAUUUUAUGCUUUAGGUUUGUUAAUCUUUAGUCAUUCUUGGGGUUGUAUAGUGAUAUGUAAUUGCUGUUUUAAUUUCCAUUUCUCUGAUGAGUAAUUAUAUUGAACAUAUUUUCUUCUGUUUUUUGGCUGUAUCAAUACCUUCCUUGGUGAAAUGUCUCUAAAGUCCUUGUCUUACUUUUUAAUUCUUUACUACUGAUUUAUAUGAGUUCUUUAUGUAUUGUAGAUGGGACUUCUUUAUUGUAUCUCUAUGUUGUCUAUAUCUUCUCCAGGGAAAUUUGUCUUUCAUUCAUAAUAUGGUGCUUUUGUUUAGAAUUCUCAUAGUAUUGAACAAAUACGUUCUUUUAGUUACCAAUAUUUAAAUACUAGGAGAUUUUAUAUAAAUAUCUGGAUUUCAGAUAUCUUUUAAAAUACUGUAAGACUUCUGAAACAUCCUGCUUGAGAUCUUAUAUACUUAAGACUCUAUUGGAGCUGCCCACAUGAGAUGCCCACCAUGCUCUCUGUUUUCUAUACCAACAUAGUUCAUGGGUUCACGUUACCAGCCUAGUCCAAUAGGCACCCAGUAUGGGACCCUGCUCUGAGAUAGUCUCCUUUUUUAAAGCCUGAGUUCUGCUAACCAGACCUCUUUUGGAUUAACAGACUUAAUCAGUAUGAGGGAUAACACAUGUCUUUUGGGGAUCACAUACUUAAUAAUGUCAAAUCUCUGGCCACCAAAUAAUAAAUACUUUAGUGCAAUUAAGUACAUACUUUCUAAAAUAGUUUCUUUUUCAAGAAUCAGAAUACAACGCAUAGAAUUUGGGAGAAGCUAAGAGUUCAAAAGGUGUUUAAUAAUAGUGGAAUUAUUUCAGUUUAAGUAGUGGAAUUAGUGGAAUUUGACCAAAUGUGUCUUAGAAUGCAGACCUAAGAAACCUAAAAUAUUGCAACCCAAAUUUCAGAAUUUCUCUCGUGUGUGUAUGUGUGUGUGUAUGUACAUAUACAUGUAUACUUAUAUGGAAAAAACCUUAACUGUAGUUAUCAGGAGGUUAGAACGUAAAACACGUAUUCAUUCCCUUCCCAAAUAUCACUUAAGAGCUUCUGCAUUGGCAAGGUACUCGUCUAGGUGUUAGAACCAGAGAGGGGACAAAAUAGAGGAGUUCCCAGCUUUCAGAGUUGUCAUUCAAGAAUGAGAACUAAUUGAUACCUAGAUACACAAUAAAAAUUUGAAAACAUCUACAAGUUUAAAGUGUUAAAAUUAGAUUCUUAUAGUAAUCGAAACUGUGGUAUUGGUGAAAGGGUAGACAAAGAGAUCAACAGAACAGACUAGAAAAUACAGACAUAGACCCGCGCAAAUACAGUCAACUCAUUUUGACAAAGAAGCAAAGACAAUUCAAUAUUUUUCAACUGGUGCAGGAACAACUGGACAUCGACAUGCAAACCAGAAAUAUGACAGAAACCCCUUUCACAAAAAAUUCACUUAAGAUGGAUCAUGGACCAUGAUGUAAAGUGCCAAAACCAUAAGACUCCUGGAAAAUGACAUAGAAGAAAAUCCAAUUGACUUUAGGUUUGGUGGUGACUUUUAGGUACAACACUGAAAGCACAAUCCAUGAAAGAAAAAAAUAAAUUGGACGAUAUUAAAAUUAAUAACAUUCUGCAAAAGAUACUGUUAAAAAAUGACAAGAAAAGCCACAUAUUUUUUAAGUAUUUAUUUUGAGAGAGAGUGUGCUGAGUAGGGGAGGGGCAGAGAGAGGUGGGGAGAGAGAGAGAGAAUCCCGAGCAGACUCCUCACUGUCAGCACUGAGCCCAACGUCAGGCUUGAACACGAACUGUGAUAUCAUGACCUGAACCGAAAUCAAGAAUCCGACACUCAAUUGACUGAGCGACCCAGGCACCCCAAAAAGCCACACACUGGGAGAAAACAUUUGUAAACAUAUAUCUGAUAAAGGAGAAGUAUCCAAAAUAUACAAAGAAUUCUUAGAACUUGACAAUAAGAAAAAAGCAACCCAAUUAAAAAAAAUGGGGAGAUGAUAUAAAUAGACUCCUAA